AUUGCCUGGGAAUCUUGGUAAAAUGUAGAUUCUUAUUCAGUAAAUCUGAGCUUGGGCCUGAGAUUCUGCAUUUCUAGCAAGCUCUGAGGUGAUGUUGG
rnacentral:pre_miRNA from 1 species